rnacentral:rRNA from 1 species
AGAGACAGCAGUCGCCGCGGUAAGACAGAGGAUGCAAGCGUUAUUCGGAAUGAUUGGGCGUAAAGCGUCUGUAGGUGGCUUUUCAAGUCCACCGUCAAAUCCCCGGGCUCAACCCUGGACAAGCAGUGGAAACUACCAAGCUGGAGUACGGUAGGGGUAGAGGGAAUUUCCGGUGGAGCGGUGAAAUGCGUUGAGAUCGGAAAGAACACCAACGACGAAAGCACUCUGCUGGGCCGACACUGAUACUGAGAGACGAAAGCUAGGGGAGCAAAUGGGAUUAGAUACCCCCGUAGUCCCUGUCUCUUAUAC